GUCAGCAGCCGCGGUAACACCGGCGGCCCGAGUGGUGAUCGUGAUUAUUGGGUCUAAAGGGUCCGUAGCCGGUUUGGUCAGUCCUCCGGGAAAUCUGAUAGCUCAACUAUUAGGCUUUCGGGGGAUACUGCCAGACUUGGAACCGGGAGAGGUAAGAGGUACUACAGGGGUAGGAGUGAAAUCUUGUAAUCCCUGUGGGACCACCUGUGGCGAAGGCGUCUUACCAGAACGGGUUCGACGGUGAGGGACGAAAGCUGGGGGCACGAACCGGAUUAGAUACCCGGGUAGUCCCAGCCGUAAACGAUGCUCGCUAGGUGUCAGGCAUGGCGCGACCGUGUCUGGUGCCGCAGGGAAGCCGUGAAGCGAGCCACCUGGGAAGUACGGCCGCAAGGCUGAAACUUAAAGGAAUUGGCGGGGGAGCACAACAACGGGUGGAAGCCUGCGGUUUAAUUGGACUCAACGCCGGACAACUCACCGGGGGCGACAGCAAUAUGUAGGCCAAGCUGAAGACUUUGCCUGAAUCGCUGAGGAGUGGUGCAUGG
rnacentral:rRNA from 1 species